GAGCUCCAGCUCCCUCAGACUGAUCCCGUAAGAAAAAGCAAACAUCUUUUCCUGUUUGUUCCCUGCUGCAACACAAAAGACUUUAAAGACUUGAGGCUGCAAAGAAAACUGUUUGUCUUUGGGUCCUGGAACACUGAGAGCUCAUAGGAGACGAGAUCAAUUUUCCAUACAGGUUCCAGCACAUUAGUCCAGACUGGGAAUAGCUCAGCAAGUCUUCAAAUACAGAAGACGACCUUUCUUCUAAACAAGGUGGGGACACUGUGCUGCUAGACCUGGAGCACAGCAAGGUCUAAGGAGGAAAGAGGGAAUCAACCUCCAUGUAAUACAUGGAGGUAGAGGAUAUUGGCUUGCCUUCAGAUUUAUUAGCUAGGAUUUUAAUUAGCACCGUAAUGUCUUUACACCAAACAGCCAGAACAACAUAAGGUAGACAAGCCAGCAAAACAAAGAAAAACAACCCAAAAACACUUUGGGAAAAAAUACUUUUGGAAACCAAAGUGCACCAGAGCCUUCCAUCACUGGGGGCUUCUUUAAAGGGAUGUGCACAUGAUUUCUUGGCAGGUUAACAGGCAUCCCUAGGAAUUACAAAAAGAAAAGAGUGGUAGAACUCUUACAGCAGCAUCUUCUCAAAAGACUUUUCUAGGGGGAGAUUUAUUGAGCCUUAUUCUAUCUGACACUAGUCAGUGAACAUGUGCAAGUUUGGUGAGCCAGGGAAAAAAAAGAGCAUGUCUAUAAAUUCUUAUACUCCAGACAGCAUUCCUCAGAGGCCAGCCCUAAUAAACCCAUCACCACAACAAUACUAUAACUCAGUGGUGCUCAGCUCCUGGCCUUUCAGGGUCUGACAUCUGCAUCUUUUCUUAGGGACUCCUGCAGUAAGCACAGAGUGCAUCAGCUACUGUGAGGAGACAGCAGUUAAUGUUAACAUGGACACAUCAGAGAGCCCCAUCCCAGCCCAAUAUGACUUAACAUGUCUGGAAAUGGACACGUGGCCACUGUGCAAUGCAUCCUUGAACACAAAGAGCUCAGGCCCAGAGAGUUGCUAAACCAUGUGGGCUGUACACCACUAGCAACACUGUUAAGAGCCAAUAAUCUAUAAAAAAUAAUCUUAAAAAAAGAAGUCCCUGUAUCUUACAGUCCUGCAAUACAAGCUGGGGAGCACGAGCUUUAAGUUUCUUCAGCUAAGUGGGAGUUGAGCUGAAUGUCCCAGUUCAAGGGCAAAGCCACGAUGUCAUAUGAGGUAUCAGUCUUCUCACUCCAGUGAGCCAACUGAAGAGAUUGUUGCCAAAACUGGGCAAACCUAAAACACCUCUGAAUCUUUUCACUCUGUGGUUUAACCCUGUUAAACUCUGUGGUUUAACCCUGAUGACAAACUGGUCACCAGGCACGGUUAAUGACUACUGAUGACAAACCAGUAGGUGCUGCUUAACUUGCCUUAACACCUUUUUCACAACCUCUCUACAGCUUUGCCCAAUGACAAAGCAACUGCUGAAGGUGGAUGCCUGUGAGAAGUGUUAUAUGUUUUAGCACUGUACCUUAGGACCCAGAAAUAAUAAGCACAUAAAAGAGAUGUGUAUUUACAAUGCCACCUUUUAAAGAAAUUGCUUAAAAGAAACUCACUGUAGAAACCCAGAAAGGUAAUUCUUCACCUUGCUGAGUAAUCUUGCUAAUAUCAAGAGAAGUUAGAAUUACUGAGUCGUGAACAGAAAUGACACUAUUAGUACUCACAAUGAAGCACUUCAAUAGAAAGGGGAGCAAAGGAAGAACGUGCCCAUUCUCCACCACAGGUGAGGCGAGUCACUGCCAGGAGGUACCACUCACUGCAGCAAUGGACAGAGAGCACACCUGAACUGCUGUAACAUGAAGAGCAGGAAUCUGAGUCACCUGCCUCCAGCAGGGACAUAGCCCAGUUCUCAAGUCAUAGAAUCAUAAAGGUUGGAAAGACCACUAAGAUCACUAAGUCCAACCAUCACCCCACCACCACCAUGACCAUUAAACCACAUCACUCAAUGCAACAUCUCCCCUUUUCUUGAAAGCCUCCAGGGACAGUGAUUAGCCUCUUCCAACACCUCACAGUACUCUAUAAACAGGUCCUCCACUCCCUACAACACCCUGAUUUACUCCCAAAGCACACUACAACUUCCACAAGAACUGAAGAAAGGCUUCAGAAAGACUUUCAUUAAGCUACUUUAUUCCUAGAAGAAAUUUUAUGCUAAGAGAAAAAUAUUGGCACUGUAGAAUAGUGCCAUAAAGUGUUCCCACUUGCACAGGGUGAUGAAGGCUUUUCACUUAAAUUCUGUGACUUCCAUACAUCUCUGCAGGAAGCUGUCCAGGGCUGUAUUUUUUCUAAGAUCUUUCUUAGCUAGUGUAUACUUAAUCUGGACUGAGGAGUAGCAUCAGGGCAGGACGGCCACCACUUCUCCUCAGCAUCCCCAAGAAGGAAAUGAUAUAUUGAUGGUAUAAAGAAGAACAGUGACCUUCAUGCCCUGUUAGGAGGAGCGUCCUAUUUCUGCACUCACACUCAGCAUGAAACAAACAGCUUUAUGGCCAUGACUCCUGAAGGAGGAAAAGAAAACAACAUAACCCCAAACAAGCAUGCAGAUGGAACAGACUCUUCAUGAAAUUGAAUGAGAAUGUGUAAAGCAUGUAAAACAUUCCAUGUUUGACCCUUAUUUUCAUCUUUUCAAAACUAACAUCAAAUAAAACAUUGAGCAACCAG